AUGCAAAGCUGAGGGAGUCAGAAUUAGCAUUGUUAGGUAAUAGGUGGUAGGAUCAACAUUUGUGAAGGGAAGUCCUGAGAAGCUGCAUGUAGCUGUGGAGGUGAAGUUUAAGGUGUAAUUAAGCCAGGAUGCUGGAGAUGCCAGUGUCAAAUCAUAUUUAAACACUGUGAAAUCAGAUGUUUAUAUGACAAGAUUGCACAUAUAAUGCUUCUAACCAAGGUAACAGGUAAGAGAAGCUUGAUAAAAUUUCGCAGUUAUAAUUAUUUGAAUAGUUACUUGCUUAUGAUAAGAUAACACAGUUGUCUAUUACCAACAUUAUUGUUCUUUAGUGUGCUAUCUUUCUGAGUUUGAUAAAACACCUAAGUGGAUCUUAUUAAAAUGAUUUAAGUGAUGAUAUUAUUCUAAAUUAUACAUACUUAAAGUUCAAUAAUUACCUUCUGAUAGAAUAUAUAUUGUCUUCUUUUGCUUCACUUAAAAGCAUUAAAUGAACACGUGAAGUUACUUAUAUAGUUUUUAAAUGUUUUUAUAAACAAGUCUUAAACCUAGCCUUGCAGACUUAUUUUCUUUUUAUAUUCAUAUAUUUUUUUGGAAUCUGGAGACCUAGAAUUAGAAGCUAAUAAUCCCUCCAUGUUUGUUCUAGAAUAUAAAAGGAUUUGAAGAUUAUAUUCUAUUACUUUCUUCCUAAUAGAAUGGUCAGAUUAAAAUGUUGUAAAUAAGUUUUUAAUCCAAUGUCAAUUAGUGUUGAGCAAAGAGUAUACAAAUCAUUAGUCUCUUUAUAGCCUACAUUGGUUAUUAUUAAAUAACACCCUGGGGGAAGAGCUUUUGGGAUCCAUAACUAGAAAUACACCAUUCUAGAGAAUGCUACUUAUGAAAGGUAAGGGCCUGUGGCUGGAGUCUCAUGAACAGGAAGAAAUUAUGAAAAACUUCAGUUGCCCCUUCAAUUUUUUGGUUUGUUGUUUAUUAUAAUUACAUGAAAAAUGGCACAUAUGAUUUUUUAUUUAAUAACUUUCGUCUUUGGCAAUUUUGUGCACAAACAUAAUGCAUUUUUGAUUGCCUUCAUGCUUCCUCUUACUUAUUCUUUUCAUCCCUGUCUGUCUAUGACAACGUCAGUUUGUAUGUAUUCUUUGCUGAUGGUCUCACCAGUGGGUGCCCAAUACCAGACAGAGACUGCUCCUCUCAUGGAACUAUCAAUAAUUCAGAUUAGAGGUGUAAAAGCAACAAGCCCCUCCAGGAUCAUUAAUUGGUUAUUAGCAAACUAUUUCAUACCCCCUUGAUAACAUGCCUCAGCACUUCUAUUUCCAUCUUUUAAAAUCUGUUCACUCUUUCGGAUAUUUUCCCUGAACUCUAGGUGAGGUGGUUUACUGUCUUGAUUAGGGCUCAGUCCUCAGUUAUCACCAAUUUUCAGCAUCCUGAAUCAGCCAUGAGUGUGAAUUCUUCCUGUUCAGUGAACAGUUGUUCUGAAAAAUUGGCAUAAUAUCAAACAUUUUUUCUAAAUAUCUAAAUUUAGUCUCAAAGACGGAUGCUACUCUCGGCCUUAAACAGAUGUGGGAUAUUGGAUCUGGGAGGAUUUGGCAGAAAAGAAGCUUUGAUCAAAAUAUACUACUGGAAAGAUAUAAUACAUUAUGAUAGGAUUUAUGCCAUGUUUCCUAAAUAUUGCACAUUUUCUAGUUAAGUAUAUUUAAAUACACUACAAUAUUCACUAUUAAUUUGCUUCCUGCACUGCUGAAUUGUUUGUCUCUGGAGGAAAAAAAUCAUUCCUCUACUCUUUUGUCACUAUUAUCUCAUAAUUAUUGCAUCAUUCUUGAUAUGUUACAUGGAUUUUCCAUCUACGAAGUCCCAAAAACUAUAUAAACUAUUUUAACUUACAUAUGUAAUUCUGAAACUGGAAUUUUUUAGAGUGAAAUACAUUUUUAAAAAAUUUUAUUGGAUAUUUCAUUUAUUUACAUUUCAAAUGUUAUCCCCCUUCCUGGUUUACCUUCCACAAACCUCCUAUCUCAUCCUCACUCAUCCUGCUUCUGUAUAGUGCUCCCCUACCAUAAAAUAGAUUUAAAAUAUAGUAGUAAACUCAGUGAUGGAAAAUAAACAGAAGUAGCUUUAAAUUCAUAUUCAUUAGUUAAUUCAAAAUUAUUGAAAUAUGUAUAAGAUAAUGCAAUCAAGCCUUAUUUUGUGGGAAUUUCAGUUGGUAUUUUAGAUUAAUAUAAAAUUAAUAUUCACUACUAAUAAUUCCUUUAUGAGUUAAGGUUUUUUUAAGCUUGAUGUUUUCAUUUUAUUGAAAACUAUCAAAUUAUACUAGUUCCUAGGAGGUAGUGUCACACCUUAUAUAGAAAAGGAGGGGUAAUGGAUAAUUGAGUCCACUCAUACUAUUAAGGAGUAGUCUAGGUAUUAUUUUUCUAUGUCAUUAUAAAGAGACUAAAGUCAUUUAGAAAAGAGCACUAUAAAUUUCUCUAGGUUACCCAUCCUCCAUCUUUUGCCAAUGACUUAUCUCUUUUUUAGACAUUCACUAUAAUAAAAUGGGUCAUGUGGAUUUAAGAGAAGUUGCAACUGAUAACCAACUGUUCAUACGCUCCCCUGUCUUUUCUUUCACAUUAUCUUACCCGCUCCCCCACCCCACUUAGCUUCCCCUUCCUCUUACCUUUCCAGAUCCCUCUAUCCAUCUACCUCCUGUAAUUAUUUUGGUCCCCCUUUAUGACUAAAGCAUCCACACUUUGGUUUUUCUUCUUGAGUUUCACAUGGUCUGUGGGUUGUAUUAUGGACAUUUCAAGAUUUGGACUACCAUCCACUUAUCAGUGAAUACAUACCAUGUGUGUUUGUUUUAUUGUGAUUAGGUUACCUCACUCUGGAAGAUAUUUUCUAUUUUCAUCUAUUUGCCUGUGAAUUUGAUGAAGUCAUUGUUUUUAAUAGUUGUAUAAUACUCCAUUUUGUAAAUGUACCACAUUUCUGUAUCUUUCCUCAGUUGAGGGACAUCUUGGUUUUUCCCAGCUUCUGGUUAUUAUAAAUAAGGCUGCUAUAAACAUGGUUGAGCAUGUGUCCUUGUUAUAUGUUGGAGCAUUUUUGGGUAUAUGCACAGGAAUUGUAUAGCUGGGUAAUCAGGUAGAAAUAUUUUCCAUUUUCUGAGGAGCCAUUAGCUUGUUUUCCAGAGUAGUUGUACCAGCUUGCAUUUCCACCAGCAAGGGAAGUGUGUUCCUCCUUCUCCACAUCCUCGACAGCAUCUGCUUUACAACUUCAAUGGACACCGGCUGGUCAAGUAAAUACUAAAGGUUCCCAGUGAUCUGAUCCCUGGUUCUGAUGUCUACAAGCAAAUGCCUACACACAGUUGCAUACAUGCAGAAGGAGGUCUUCCUGGUUGCUGCCGCUGCAGAGAGCCCCUGGGCAGCACCCCACGAGCGAACUUGAGCCUCGGGACCACAGGUAAGACCAAAAUUUCUGCUGCACGAAAGCUGCCUGGUGAGCUUGGGACACACGGAAGCAGAAUUUCUCUAGGACCGGGCACGUUCUGUGUUUAGCGGAAGUCCCACACCCGCGGAUCCCGGCCCGCAGCAGCUCUCUGCUCCCAGACCCGGUGAGAGAGAGACCCAACCACCUGGUCAGGUGGGCACUCCUGAGGCUGCAGAGCGGAAGAGACCACCAACACUGCUCACCCCUGCCCACAUCCCUGGCCCAAGAGGAAACUGUAUAAGGCCUCUGGGCUCCCGUGGGGGAGGGCCCAGGAGCGGCAGGACCCCUGUGCCUGAGAAACCGCCGGAACCUGAAAGAAACAGACCUGAUAAACAGUUCUCUGCACCCAAAUCCCGUGGGAGGGAGAGCUAAACCUUCAGAGAGGCAGACAAGCCUGGGAAACCAGAAGAGACUGCUCCCUGCACACACAUCUCGGACGCCAGAGGAAAAAGCCAAAGACCAUCUGGAACCCUGGUGCACUGAAGCUCCCGGAAGGGGCGGCACAGGUCUUCCUGAUUGCUGCCGCUGCAGAGAGCCCGUGGGCAGCACCCCAUGAGCGAACUUGAGCCUCAGGACCACAGGUAAGACCAAAUUUUCUGCUGCAAGAAAGCUGCCUGGUGAACUCAAGACACAGGCCCACAGGAACAGCUGAAGACCUGGAGAGAGGAAAAACUACACGCCCGAAAGCAGAACACUCUGUCCCCAUAACUGACUGAAAGAGAGGAAAACAGGUCUACAGCACUCCUGACACACAGGCUUAUAGGACAGUCUAGCCACUGUCAGAAAUAGCAGAACAAAGUAACACUAGAGAUAAUCUGAUGGCGAGAGGCAAGCGCAGGAACCCAAGCAACAGAAACCAAGACUACAUGGCAUCAUCGGAGCCCAAUUCUCCCACCAAAGCAAACACGGAAUAUCCAAACACACCAGAAAAGCAAGGUCUAGUUUCAAAAUCAUAUUUGAUCAUGAUGCUGGAGGACUUCAAGAAAGACAUGAACACACUUAGGGAAGCACAGGAAAACAUUAAUAAACAAGUAAAAGCCUACAGAGAGGAAUCGCAAAAAUCCCUGAAAGAAUUCCAGGAAAACACAAACAAA